UCGGCCCGAAAGCUCUAGAAUGCACCCCCCUUCUUCCCCGGGGCCUUCCACCUCCGCGAGUUUUAUGACUUAAAAAACCCCACAGGCUGGUCUGAAGAGGAAGACAAACAUAAAGAUGAAGUGCUUAAUUCAAGGUCACACAAUGUCGGGGAUGGACCUCCAGAUUUCCUUACUGGUGAGACGUGGUCUUGUAACACAGUGGUUAAGAAUGUGACUUUGGAGCCAGCCUGCUAGGGGCUGAAUUCUGACUCAGCCAUUUACUAACUGUGUGACCUUAGGUCACAGAAUUUUCCACACUCCUUGACGGAGGUGCUUAACCCUUAUCCAUCAGCAUUCUCAGACAGCACCUCCGGUUAGGGACAGUAUCUGACCGUCCGACAUCCCUGCAGCCCCCAUGUGUCACACAGACUCAGCCUCAGGUAGAUGGUUUCCGUAGAUGGUGGCUUUCUUUGGACCCUUGACAUCAACCAGUUACUAUUUGACUCUUCUGCAGAACCCCCUGUUGACCCCUGCUUUGAGGUGGCAGAGUUAACACUACUCUUCGUUAUAAGCUCUCGUCUGGGGCAACUCAGAAGAACGGGACCAGAUGUGCAGAGGUAAUGAAUACCAGGGAAUCAGGAAACCACUGGAUCAGUUCUUUGAGCCACAGAACAACACUCAUCCCAGCAGCUGGGAAGCUAUCUGCAAAAGUCCAUCUGCAGAAAGGGCUUCCUGGUCUUGCGUGUGGCUGGGCCAUUUCUCUGGAUGCAGGUUUUUCAUUAUACAGUCUUCUCAAAGAAACACCUGCUCUCAACACCUUCUCGGUGACUCCAUUUCCCCUCCUCUGGGCUCCUGGAAUGCCACAAUGGCCCCACCUUAGCCAGGCAGCUGUGAUGAGAGGUGUUGACCCAACUGCCUCUCUGCUGGCUCACUGAAUCAGGUGGAAGGGGCUGGGGACAGCACAGUCUUGCAUUGUGGUUGGGGACCUGGGCCAUCCAGAGGCAGGACUGUCCAAAGGCAGGGUACUGCUGGGAUUCCGCCAGGCACUGGGUGAUGCAUGGCAUAGGGAGCUGGAGAGGGACAGGCUCUUGGCCAGGAAAAACAGCCCCAGAGCCACAGGUGUGCCAUCGAGUCUUCCUCCUCUCCCAUCCUUAAUCACUCCUGUUUGGUGACAGCACACAGCUAGGCCUGGAGCCCAGCAAAGAGCCCCUGGGUCCCAGAGGAAGUUGUUCUGGGGGCUGGAGACAAUCACAAAUGCCAGGUUUGUGAGCCCCAGACUCUGGUUCAUAGCAAGAGGCAGACUUGUGAGCAAACCACCAGAUCACACCGU
rnacentral:antisense_RNA from 1 species